ensembl:snRNA U6 U6 spliceosomal RNA
GUGCCCAUUUUGGCAGCACAUAUACUAAAAUUGGAAUGAUACAGAGAAGACUAGAAUGGUUCCGGUGCAAAGAUGACACACAAAUUCAUGAAGUAUUCCAUGUUAAA